rnacentral:rRNA from 1 species
GACGAACGCUGGCGGCGUGCUUAACACAUGCAAGUCGAACGGAAAGGCCCUGCUUUUGUGUGGUGCUCGAGUGGCGAACGGGUGAGUAACACGUGAGUAACCUGCCCUUGACUUUGUGAUAUCUUCAGGAAACUGGGGCUAAUACCGGAUAGGAGCUCCUGCUGCAUGGUGGGGGUUGGAAAGCUUCGGCGGUUGGGGAUGGACUCGCGGCUUAUCAGCUUGUUGGUGGGGUAGUGGCUUACCAAGGCUUUGACGGGUAGCCGGCCUGAGAGGGUGACCGGCCACAUUGGGACUGAGAUACGGCGCAGACUCCUACGGGAGGCAGCAGUGGGGAAUAUUGCACAAUGGGCGGAAGCCUGAUGCAGCAACGCCGCGUGCGGGAUGACGGCCUUCGGGUUGUAAACCGCUUUCGCCUGUGACGAAGCGUGAGUGACGGUAAUGGGUAAAGAAGCACCGGCUAACUACGUG